AACUAUCAACAUGACCAUUUAAUGUUGAUAGUUUUAUGAGAAAUAUACCUUCAUGUUGACUGCAUUAAAUGUGACAAAAUGUGUAGGGUGCAUCUGGGUUUGCGUAGUCCAUGUGAAAAACUGAAAUCUUCCUUAAUCUUCAAAAUCGAAGACAUUGCCAUUAAAGGUGACAAAAUAUGUAGGUGGCAACUCAGUUUGCAAAGUCAUCUGAAACACUGCACUCAUCCUUGAUAAUCUCCAGAAUUGAAGACAUUGUCAUUACAUGGUGGCAACUGGGUUUGGGUAGUCAUGUUAAUUAUAUAUACACAUGUAUUUAGCUCUUAGGUCAGAAGUGAUAUGGCUAUAAUCUGUCGGCUGUUGUGCAAAGUGGUUGUAGGCUAACUUCAUAUUGCAUCAGUUGAUUGAGGAAUUGUAAACAUUUCACGCUACUGUUUUGAUGUGCUGAGUUCUGGCUUAAGUCUGCAAAUUUAUUUUUGUUUUUAUGGUUGGUCUUUAAAACCUACAGUGUUUGACAAUGGCUGUGAUACUAGAGUUUGUUUUUACAUGUUUCGACUCUAUAUCCUGUGAACACUUUUAAAAUGUGUGACUUUAUUUGACAGUGUGACAAGUCAGCCUUGAAUGCUUUUCAGUUUAUUGUCAAUGUAUAGGUCAGGGACUUUUGUAAUUUAUAUAGAGACUGAUUAGUUCUGUAAAAUAAAAGAGUUAUACUUUGAAACAGUGACUAAAGAAAAAUAGUUUUGCUUCAAUUGAAUUUUGUUUGUAUGUUGAACAAGAAAAGGUUUAGACUUUGUGUAUCAAUCAUUCAUAUUUUGUUCUCAGUUUUUAUUUUUUAUUUGAUUGUUUCAUUACCUUUUGAUUUUUUAAAAAUUUGUUUCAUGCCAAAGAUGAAUUUGUAGCAUCAAAAGAUCAAAAGUAUUGCUUCUUUUUUGGUAUGGUCAUUUCACAAAGGCUCACAGUUAUUUUACCAUGUCUAUUGAAUUAAGAAAAAAAAUCAAGAUUUAUUAGCUGCAUUUCUAUAUUAAAAUAUUAAGGGAAUAAACAAGAGUAUUUUUAUAAUUUGUUGAUGAUUUAUGGAAUUGUAUCCAGUGUACAAUGCAAAAAAAUAGUCAAUUCUUACAGAUAAUAUGGAAAUGAUUGAUGUAACAUCUUUGUAUAACGGGUAAUUUUAUCUGUUUGGAGAAUGGCUUGUUCCCAAAACCAAUGGAAGAAAGGCAAUAGAUGAGCCUGUUGAGGGCAAGGCAAUAGAUGAGCCUAUUGAGGGCAAGGCAAUACAUGAGACAAAAGGAGGUGAGAAAACUGAGAAAAGUUCUUGGCAACUGCUUGCUUCUAAAAGGGACAGUGGUAGAUGACAGCUAAUACUUUUUUAAAAUCUUACCAAAGAAAAGCACAGAGCAGGAAAUGGGAACACCUCAUGAACAUAUGUUCGGCUUAAUUAUUUGUAUAUGUAGGUCUUAAUUAUUUGUAAUUGAAAACCAUCCUAAAAUUGACUUGUGCCAUUUUGAAACAAUGGAUAAAAUUUGCCUUUGUGAAAUGACUGAAAUGCAGUGUUGAAGUUCAGUCAAAUCAAAACAUAUUCACAUUGACUUGGUGAUCAAUAUUCAACAGACAUUGAUAUUCAUAGUAUAUGCAGUGCUGUAUUUUGACUUGAAAAGGUCCUAAACUAUUUUAGAUAUGGGGCCAUUUAUAAGUUCAGAUUAUAUAUGUCAGUGCUAAAUAUUUCUUAGGGGUCCUAAGCUAGAGCUGGUGUGUCUUUAGGCCCUGAACAUAUGUAGAGCUAACCAUACAAACAAAAAAAUAUUUACAUUAUCUUUUCUUACUUUAUUUUAAUUUUAUGAAAUGCUCAACUGAAUUUCUGUUUUUUUUUGUUGUUUUUUUUGUAUUUAACCAUAGUC